CCUGAACGCUGGCGGCAUGCCUUACACAUGCAAGUCGAACGGUAACGCGGGGCAACCUGGCGACGAGUGGCGAACGGGUGAGUAAUGUAUCGGAACGUGCCCAGUUGUGGGGGAUAACUGCUCGAAAGAGCAGCUAAUACCGCAUACGACCUGAGGGUGAAAGCGGGGGAUCGCAAGACCUCGCGCAAUUGGAGCGGCCGAUAUCAGAUUAGGUAGUUGGUGGGGUAAAGGCCCACCAAGCCAACGAUCUGUAGCUGGUCUGAGAGGACGACCAGCCACACUGGGACUGAGAUACGGCCCAGAAUCCUACGGGAGGCAGCAGUGGGGACUUUUGGACAAUGGACGCAAGUCUGAUCCAGCCAUGCCGCGUGCGGGAAGAAGGCCUUCGGGUUGUAAACCGCUUUUGUCAGGGAAGAAACGCUCUGGGUUAAUACCUCGGGGUAAUGACGGUACCUGAAGAAUAAGCACCGGCUAACUACGUGCCAGCAGCCGCGGUAACAC
rnacentral:rRNA from 1 species